rnacentral:rRNA from 1 species
UACAGAGGGUGCGAGCGUUAUUCGGAAUUACUGGGCGUAAAGCGUGCGUAGGCGGUUAUGUAAGUCGGGUGUGAAAGCCCCGGGCUCAACCUGGGAAUUGCAUUCGAGACUGCAUAGCUAGGAUGCGGAAGAGGGAAGUGGAAUUUCCGGUGUAGCGGUGAAAUGCGUAGAUAUCGGGAGGAACACCUGUGGCGAAAGCGGCGCACUGGACCAUAACUGACGCUGAGGCGCGAAAGCUAGGGGAGCAAACAGG